CAACCUCCACCUCCGGGGUUCAAGCAAUUCUCCUGCCUCAGCCCCCUGAGUAGCUGGGAUUACAGGUGCGCACCACCACAUCCAGCUAAUUUUUGUAUUUUUAGUAGAGACGGCAUUUCACCAUGUUGGCCAGGCUGGUCUUGAACUCCUGACCUCAUGAUCCGCCCGCCUCAGCCUCCCAAAGUGCUGGGAUUACAGGUGUGAGCCACCGUGCCCAGCCU
rnacentral:lncRNA from 1 species